GCAGCUCCCCGCGCAGUGCGAUUGUGUUUGCGGCCUGUGCGAGUAGGCGCUUCAGCACUCACUCUCCCGGGCGAGCGGCGCGCCGAAACCUCGAACCAGUGGAGCACACCCAUAAUCUGGAUCCCCGAAGGCCGAAAAGGCAGUACCGCUUUCUCAGCGGCGGACUGCUGCAGUAAGAAUGUCUUUUCUCCCUCAUUUGAAUCGUCCUCCCAUGGGGAUCUCAGCAUUCCCACCAGGGAUCCCACCCCCGCAGUUUCCAGGAUUUCCUCCACCUGUACCUCCAGCGACCCCAAUGAUUCCUGUACCAAUGAGCAUUAUGGCUCCUGCUCCAGCUGUCCUAGUACCCACUGUGUCUAUGGUUGGAAAGCAUUUGGGCGCAAGAAAGGAUCAUCCAGGCUUAAAGACUAAAGAAAAUGAUGAAAAUUGUGGUCCCACUACUACCGUUUUUGUUGGUAACAUUUCUGAGAAAGCCUCAGACAUGCUUAUGAGACAGCUCUUAGCUAAAUGUGGUUUGGUUUUGAGCUGGAAGAGAGUACAAGGUGCUUCCGGAAAACUUCAAGCUUUCGGAUUCUGUGAGUACAAGGAGCCAGAAUCUACUCUCCAUGCACUCAGAUUAUUACAUGACCUGCAAAUUGGAGAGAAAAAGCUACUCGUUACAGUUGAUGCAAAGACCAAGGCACAGCUGGAUGGAUGGAAAGCAAAGAAGAAAGCUUCUAAUGGGAAUGCAAGGCCAGAAACUGUCACUAAUGACGAUGAGGAAGCCUUGGAUGAAGAAACAAAGAGGAGAGAUCCGAUGAUUAAAGGGGUCAUUGAAGUUUUAAUACGUGAAUACUCCAGUGAGCUAAAUGCCCCCUCACAGGAAUCUGAUUCUCACCCCAGGAAGAAGAGAAGGAAAAGAAAGAGGACAUUUUCCGCAGAUUUCCAGGGCCCGACUGAUCCCUUAUCCACUCAUCACUAAGGAGGAUAUAAAUGCUAUAGAAAUGGAAGAAGACAAAAGAGACCUGAUAUCGCGAGAGAUCAGCAAAUUCAGACACACAUAAGAAACUGGAAGAAGAGAAAGGAAAGAAGGAAAAAGAAAGACAGGAAAUUGAGAAAGAACGGAGAUAAAGAGAGAGGGAGCGUGAAAGGGAAAGAGAACGUGAAGGAGAGAAGAAGGAACGGGAGCGGGAACGAGAACGGGAUAGGGACCGUGACCGGACAACAGAGAGAGACCGAGAUAGGGAUCGAGAGGGAGGUCGUGACCGGAAUCGAGAAAGGAGCUCAGAUCGUAAUAAGGAUCGAAGUCGAUUAAGAGAAAAAAGUAGAGAUCGCGAAAGGGAACGAACGAGAGCGGGAAAGAGAGAGAGAGAGAGAACGAAAGCGAGAACGAGAACGGGAGCGCGCGCGCGUGAGAGAGAGAGCGAGACAGGGAACGGGAGCGAGAACGAGAAAAAGACAAAAAACGGGACGGAGAAGAAGAUGAAGAUGCAUAUGAACGAAGAAAACUUGAAAGAAAACUCCGAGAGAAAGAAGCUGCUUAUCAAGAGCGCCUUAAAAAUUGGGAAAUUAGAGAACGAAAGAAAACCCGGGAAUAUGAGAAAGAAGCUGAAAGAGAAGAAGAAAGAAGAGAAAUGGCCAAAGAAGCCAAACGACUAAAAGAAUUCUUAGAAGACUAUGAUGAUGAUAGAGAUGACCCCAAAUAUUACAGAGGAAGUGCUCUUCAGAAAAGGUUGCGUGAUAGAGAAAAGGAAAUGGAAGCAGAUGAACGAGAUAGGAAGAGAGAGAAGGAGGAGCUUGAAGAAAUCAGGCAACGCCUUCUGGCAGAAGGGCAUCCAGAUCCAGAUGCAGAGCUCCAGAGGAUGGAACAAGAGGCUGAGAGGCGCAGGCAGCCACAAAUAAAGCAAGAGCCAGAAUCAGAAGAGGAGGAAGAAGAAAAGCAAGAAAAAGAAGAAAAACGAGAAGAACCCAUGGAAGAGGAAGAAGAGCCAGAGCAAAAGCCUUGUCUCAAACCUACUCUGAGGCCCAUCAGCUCUGUUCCGUCUCUUUCCUCUGCCAGUGGCAAUACAACACCCAACACUCCUGGGGAUGAGUCUCCCUGUGGUAUUAUUAUUCCUCAUGAAAAUUCACCAGAUCAACAGCAACCGGAGGAGCAUAGGCCAAAAAUAGGAUUAAGUCUUAAACUGGGUGCUUCCAAUAGUCCUGGUCAGCCUAAUUCUGUGAAGAGAAAGAAACUACCUGUAGAUAGUGUCUUUAACAAAUUUGAAGAUGAAGACAGUGAUGACGUAUCACAAAAAAGGAAACUGGUCCCCUUGGAUUAUGAUUAUGGUGAAGAUGAUAAAAAUGCAGCCAAAGUCACCGUAAACACUGAAGAAAAGCGUAAACACAUUAAGAGUCUCAUUGAGAAAAUCCCUACAGCCAAACCUGAGCUCUUUGCUUAUCCCCUGGAUUGGUGUAUUGUGGAUUCUAUACUGAUGGAACAUCGAAUUAGACCAUGGAUUAAUAAGAAAAUCAUAGAAUAUAUAGGUGAAGAAGAAGCUACAUUAGUUGAUUUUGUUUCUUCUAAGGUUAUGCCUCAUAGUUCACCCCAGAGCAUUUUAGAUGAUGUUGCCAUGGUACUUGAUGAAGCAGAAGUUUUUAUAGUCAAAAUGUGGAGAUUAUUGAUAUAUGAAACAGAAGCCAAGAAAAUUGGUCUUGUGAAGUAAAACUUUUUAUAUUUAGAGUGUUCCAUUUCAGAUUUCUUCUGCACCACACUUUUAAGGACUUUGAAUUUUUCUUUAUCUUUGAAGACGUUGUGAGAUCUGUAAUUUUUUUUAUUGUAGAA